CCCCCAUGUUGCCCCGCCCAGGUAGGGGAGGGGCGUUGGCAGAAUAUGGGCACCGUGGAAUGUCCAUUGUGAGGCACCAGCCACCGGGGCCAGGGAUUGGUGGAGGGGGAGUACAAAGCCCCAGGGUUGCUAAGGCAGUGCCCAGACAGGAGCAGCUUUGGUGGACACCAGAGCCCUGCUCCUGAGCCUCCCGCUGCCUCAACCCACGCGUCCUGCUGCUUCGCUGCUCUUUCACACUGACCUGUAGCUGAACCUCCCACCUACCCUUGAGGACUUCGUUUGAACCCCAUCCUUUCCCAGACCCCUUUCCCCUCCUCCUCCUGCUCCAGCCUCAUGGUGACCUGAGAGGACCAAGACAUGCGACUGCGGUGGCUGCUCUUUUGGCUCCUCGUAUUGGGGUUUCCCAGCCAUCAGUCCACCCAGGAACUUCUGAGCCAUCCGUGUCUUCUGCGCUUGGGACCUGCCUCCAGGGAGUCUGCGUCCAAUCAGAGUGAUGGGAGCCCCAGAAGCCCGUCGGAUGGGACAGAAAAGGGUUUCGACCUGCUGGGGUGUUUGCAAGGCGGGAGUCACCAGGAGUGACAUGACCAGGGUGUGAGCAAGGACUGUAUUGUCCUUUGUUCUGUCAAAUGUGUCUUGUGAAGAUCAUUGAUUUACCCAAAGCCCUUUUGAUUGUCCAAAUGUAAAGAAAUCCAGGUUUCUAUUUGGAAUGGUUUUACCCUCACAUUAUAAUACCUCUCCACUACACUCAGGAGAGGGCACCUUCUAGAGACGAGAGUAUUUGUUCUAAGUGGCAUGCACAGAUUCUCAGAGAGGGAUCUGGACAGUCUAGUGAUGGGGAGCAACCACUGCAUGGAGGCAGAAUUGCCCCACAGGAAUGCCUCCAAUCAAAGAAGAGCCUCUUGAUUCUUUUGAGUCUAUGAAGGAGGAAAUGUCUUGAUCGUCUUUGUUGGAAUCUAUUUCCCUUUACCUGGCUGCAUUUUUAUAGAUCAAUUAAACUCUCAUUCCCUACCUGACCUUUUAAGACUUGGAUACAUUUUUCUCAUUGCAUUUUCCACCUCCACCCUUGCUCAUGGCCAUCAAUUAUCAGAACCUAAGCUUUCCCUGGCCCCAUGGGACCUAAUCUGGGUAGGAGCCCACUGCUGAUAACCUGCAUCCAGACAAUUGUCAGAUGUGACAACAGUGCCCAGGACGGGGAUGUUUUCCUGGUCAGUGACAAGGUGGCCUUUGUGCUUUUGUGCGUUUGAUCCACAUCUUUCACCACUGUGCCCAGAGCUCCUGCUUCCUGUCAGAGGGAGGCGCCUUAGGGACAGCGAGUCCCUCACAGGAUCCCAGGCUGCAGUCACCUCCACUGUGAGGCUGAAGACAAAAGUGCCACAGAGCUCAGAGGCUGCUUUCUAGAGAGAUUUCAUUUGCACAAAACUGUCUUGGUAUGUGGAUUGGUCUGAAUUGCAUUUUGAGUUUAUUUUGUCCUCCAAUACUUGUAAAUCCAGUGUUUGUAAGUACUAUGUGUGCCUAGUGUAAUGGUGGCCUACAUUCCAGAAAGUUCAUAUUGCUUUCCAUAUGGAUUUCCAAGCUUGCU
rnacentral:lncRNA from 13 species